CCGAAGGGUGUCCCGUGGGGCGUCCGGAUGCCGAGCGGCGAGCAAGGGGUGGCUACGGCCCACUCCGAGCCCGUGGCAAGGCGUUUGCAGGCGAAAAGCCAUCUGCCUCUUAAUUUGUGGAUCUCCUUUCAGAAUUUUUUUUCUAAAGGACUUUGAAAUUAUUGUCGGCUUGUCACCGAAGCGUAAACCUCCUGCCUGGAGAUCGGCCUUCUGAGCUUUACAGGUGUUCUCUGUUUAGUUCUUUCUUCCAUUCUAGGUGGGCCCAGCAGGUCUUACUUUCCCAGUUUAGCCGAUUUGGAAACCUCGGCCCAGGGAGGGGAGUUCACACUCCACCCCCGGAUCUAGGGCAGAGUCUAAAACCCGAUUCUCUUCCACGGAAUCCUUCUUUCGGCCCCCGUCGCCCACAGGAUAAAGUACGGGCUCGUCGCGCUCGCGUUGGAGGUCCUCCGUGUUGUGACUAACCUGCAUUGCGAUUGCCUUUAACCAGUCCUACUCUUAUCCAGAAAGCGUCUUUCCCGCCCCAUCUCCUCUUUCCGUCAAUACCCCUUACAACUUCCCGUACCAUUUUUUCUCUCAUUCAAUGGCUGCUUGGUUUCUUGGUACAUUUUAUGGAUCCCACUCCCUGCCUGCCUGUUCCAGACCACAACAGUUGAAAUGCGAGAGAUGGAAGCGGCACCCACCGGGCCCAAAGGCAGACUCCACAGCCACCCUCGAGUCCACACUGCAGUCCGCAUUCACUCGGGUCUGGAAGCGCUUCGCCUGAGGAUCAAACCUACUGUCCCAGGGGAAGCUGGAGGGAAGGCUGAGGGGCGGAGGGGAGAAGCAAGGAAAAGACCGCAGCACAAGAGCCCUGCGCCGCGGUCCAGCAAGGGAUGGCAUUGUAUUUAUGCAUGUUGUGUCUUAUUGCUUGGCAACCGGGUCUCAGCCUGUGUGCGGGCUGGGGAGGAGGGUCUCCAUGUGGGAGCGGGCUGGGGUGACUCAUCGCUGCGCACUCUGGCCCCUGGGACUAGGUUCACAGGCACAUGUAGCUUCAGGCUGGGUGUGGGCCGUGGCUCGCCUUGCCGGGGGAUCGCUGCCUGCCGCAGCGCCACCCUCCCGAAGGAACAUGGGCCACAGAGAGUCACACCACCACUGGGCUCCUGGUUCUGCCCGCUGUGUAGCUUUGGGUGACAAUCAGGAGAGUUUGAAAGCGCCUCUCCCUCUGGCGCUCCCAAGGCCUUCAUCAUUCGAAACUGGAGUGCAGCUGGACCCCCAUGCAAAGACCCAUUUGGGGUGGGUGAACUCCACUGCAACAGUCCAUCCAUGUUGUCCUUCGGUUUGAGAAAAGGAAACAAUAAAUAUAGAUUUUGUUAAAGAAAAAAAUAGCAAAGUAGAUCUUUACUAUCUUUAAAAUAGACACUUAUGGUUUAAAAAAAAAAAAAUCACACAGUACUGAUGCAAGGGAGAAAAUACGUCGUCCUCUCCCUCCCCACUCGAGGCCCCAGGCACACACCCCGGAGGCAAGCUGUGUGUGGAGCCCAGGGCACCGAGGGACGAGGGACAGUGCUGCUCCGAACCCACCCUGUAUGUGCAUGGAGGCCGCACCUCACAGUGCUCCCAGCCGGACAUGGGGCAGCCAGCCUGCCCUCCCUGCCUAGACCCCCUCCCCCAGCCAUGCACAGCUUGCCCUGUGCCUUCCGGAGCUGCCCCAAGGCCAGCCCAGUUCUGCAUUUUCAUUUUAUCAAGCUCAAUCUGACUGUGCCUAUAUCUUCCUUUCUAAAUACCAUUCUCUAAUGAAACAAACCAGGGCUUCUACAGAAACAGUUGAUUCCAGGGCUGGUGCAGGGAAAGUACCAGAGGAGCCUGGAACAUCUUGUGCUAGACAGUAAGGAAGUGCUCAAAGGAUGAUGGGGGCACGCAAAGGACACACGGACUCCCAGUAGCCAAACCUUGUACAAUCUGCGCAAAAACAAAUAAGUAAUAAUAAUGGAUUGUAAUCUAUAGAAUGAAAUACAUAUCCAAGAGUUCAUACAGAUAUAAAGAUAAUGGAAUAAAUAAGUGGGGGAAAGAGAGCGCUCUUUUUUACAGUAGAAUUCCAAUU
ensembl:lncRNA